rnacentral:lncRNA from 1 species
GACAUUGAGGAUUCCAACCAGAAUCUCUACUUGGAUAUCGGUGAUAUGGAGGUCUUUCUUAAUGUAGAUGAUGGCUCCACUCAUUACUCCAAUAUCUGCAUAAACCAAACCGUUAAAUAAUUAACCAUAAAAGCUAGGAGUAAUAUUUAUAAAAUUUAAAUUUAAGACAUGAACCAAUUCCAUUAAAUAAUAAACAAUAAACCUAAUAUUUACUACUAUAAAAUUUAAAUUUAAUCGAUCUUUAUAUUUUACCAUUAAGUUCAUUACAUGACUUUUGAAUUUAUUUAUAUAUAUAUAUAUAUAUUG